rnacentral:lncRNA from 1 species
AGGUUGGUAAAAAGGAAAAUACGUACAGUAAUACCUUUGCCCAGUAGGUGACUUGUUCUGAAAGUGUUACUGUGUCCAGCCACGACCCAAAUAUCCCAGCACAACCAGGCAGCCUCCAAGACUGCUAUUCCAGUGCGGCAUAUAAUAAUAUUUCCCAGAUGAACUCCCUGAAUGAAACAACUUGCCACUCUUUCAGAUCGCCUCAGGAGAUGACAGGAGCUUCUUUCCCUGAACUGGCUUGGAACACAGAAGUAAAAACAUUCCAUGGCAUUUGUAUUUCAUCUAUGCACUUCAACUCUACCCAUCACUAUAGUGUCUGCU